AAUAAUAAACGGAGCAACAUUCGUGCGUGAAGCGGGUCAGGGGAGGAAUCCAGCAGCCCUAAGCGAAUUCGAGUGUGUGCUCUUUUGUGUAUAGUCUAA
rnacentral:SRP_RNA from 1 species